AAUCCCUAUGAAGAAUUAAUCCCAGAAGUAAAGUAAAAGUAGUGGACCGAUUUAUUUCCAUUGACGAAUAUCUAAUUCCGAGGGAUG
rnacentral:snoRNA from 1 species